GAACUCUGUCCAGACUGUGAAUGUGGUAUUAUCUUCGCGAUCUGUAGGCACUACGGGAACGAAAGGCGCAUAAUCAUAACUCAAAUAAUCUCCGCCUAAAUACUGAACGGUAUUUUCUGAUGACUUAGCCUCAAAACGUAGCUGUCUGUCACACACAGCUUGUUGCGUGCUGAUCCAUACACGAGAGCCUAACGGAGAACAUUUAAGCUGUGCUCCUCACCUGAGCAGAAUUGAAGGUCGGUUGUUGCUGACUACAGAAAGAUUCUUAUAUGGAGGCAUGUAAAAGCAAGGAAAGUGAAACUUCAGCUAGACCUUGAGUUCAGUUUACAAUAUGAAGAUCCUGAUAUCAACAUCUGAUCUGAUCAACACCUGAUUUUCAUCUGAGCUGCAGAGUACCAACAUGUUACAAAUGAGAAUUUUCCCCACAAAUUCUUUGGACAACCGCACCACCACCUAUUUCAUUUUAUGACAAUUUUAAGGCAAACAGCAUCCAAAACUGACAAGACAGCAGAUACCCUGGCUAAUCUUUUGAAGGUUUAUGAUGAGCAGGAACUGCAUGAUGUCAGUUCAUGAUGGACUACUGUUAUCAGAGGUCUUUUGGUCUUGCUGCGUGAGCGUGACUGGGGAUUCUUUAGGACCACCCUGAUUAAUAAUCCUGAAGCGCUGACUGAAGAUGCUUUAUUGGCCCUGCAGUCACUGAGGGUCUCUGCUGUCCUGAAGAAUGAAUUGGACACCACCCACAGCACACUUCCAGACCUUUUUUGUCUUGUUUGGAUUAAUGUAUGCUCUUCACAUAGUAUAUAGUAAAGGACUUUGAACUUGUACAAAAAGUUUUGCUUGGCAUGGAUGAUAGAAAAAAGAAAGUCGAUUAGCAUAGAAUCCUUAAAGAAUGAGUUGAUGUAGAGCCUUUUUUGUACUCAAUAAAGACUGUCACUGGGGUAGUAACUUCAAAACAUGUAUGUACCUUUAAUUGGUAAUGGUGCAUUUUAUUAUAUAUAUAGUGUUCAACAGAAGAAAGAAACUCAAACAGGUUUGGAAUAAGUUGACAGAAUGACAGAAUCAUAGUUCAACCAAGACUGAAUAUAUAUAUAUAAACCAUUUGAUAGUUACUGUGCCAAUGACUUUUUUUUUUCCAAAACAAGAGUCACUUCACAGAAUGUGCACUUAUUCUUUAUUAACGAAUGCUUUAAGACUAAGUUUUAUAGUUCUUAUUAAUCUUAUUAUUAUUUAAUUUUGUCAAACUUAAAGUGUUUUUUUUUCUUGAAGCUCUUGUUUGAUAUAUUUGCAU